CGCGGCCUAUCAGCUUGUUGGUGAGGUAAUGGCUCACCAAGGCUUCGACGGGUAGCCGGCCUGAGAGGGCGACCGGCCACACUGGGACUGAGAUACGGCCCAGACUCCUACGGGAGGCAGCAGUGGGGAAUAUUGCACAAUGGGCGCAAGCCUGAUGCAGCAACGCCGCGUGCGGGAUGACGGCCUUCGGGUUGUAAACCGCUUUCAGUAGGGACGAAGCUAACGUGACGGUACCUACAGAAGAAGGACCGGCUAACUACGUGCCAGCAGCCGCGGUGAUACGUAGGGUCCGAGCGUUGUCCGGAAUUAUUGGGCGUAAAGGGCUUGUAGGCGGUCCGUCGCGUCAGGAGUGAAAACUCGGGGCUCAACCCCGAGCCUGCUUUUGAUACGGGCGGACUAGAGGGAUGCAGGGGAGAACGGAAUUCCUGGUGGAGCGGUGGAAUGCGCAGAUAUCAGGAGGAACACCGGUGGCGAAGGCGGUUCUCUGGGCAUCACCUGACGCUGAGAAGCGAAAGCGUGGGGAGCAAACAGGCUUAGAUACCCUGGUAGUCCACGCCGUAAACGGUGGGCACUAGGUGUGGGGGACAUUCCACGUUCUCCGUGCCGAAGCUAACGCAUUAAGUGCCCCGCCUGGGGAGUACGG
rnacentral:rRNA from 1 species